rnacentral:lncRNA from 1 species
CUAAAAGUGGUCGUUUGGUUGGUGGUACAAGGAGGUAACAAAAAUGUGAACCUCCAAGUUGGCAGAGCGCGCCAACCCGAGAAUCUGUUAGAGCGCAAUGGCGGAGGCCAUCCGGUUUUUUUUUCUACCAAAGACAAAGACACAAAACCAAAGACACCAAAACCGUUGCUGCGCCAGGCCUGGCCGGAGGAAGAUCCUCCGACUUGACUCGACCACCGCGGGAUACACUAGAACACACGAACACACACACACACACAUGGUUAGGUUAGUUUUAAAACGACGAAAAACAAUAAAUUAGGACAGUUAAAUGCAAUAAACAUGACUUUUUCCAUAACCCAAAGCGACGAUCUUUUGUGAUUCUUUUUGCCAGGACAGUGCGAUUAGCUGAAUCGAACCAGGAUUGUGAAAGGGUAGGUACAAUUCUCCUUCCCCACGUCAAAUGUGAGCAGUUGCAGAUCUUUACAUCUCUCUCUCAUCUCCAAGAGUCUCAAGUUCUGGUUUUUAUUUAAUUUUUAAUUAAUGAACUAGUGGUGGUAAUUGCCCCCUAG